CCUACGGGAGGCAGCAGUGAGGAAUAUUGGUCAAUGGGCGCUAGCCUGAACCAGCCAAGUAGCGUGAAGGAUGACUGCCCUAUGGGUUGUAAACUUCUUUUAUAUGGGAAUAAAGUGCAGUAUGUAUACUGCUUUGCAUGUACCUUAUGAAUAAGGAUCGGCUAACUCCGUGCCAGCAGCCGCGGUAAUACGGAGGAUCCGAGCGUUAUCCGGAUUUAUUGGGUUUAAAGGGAGCGUAGGCGGGUUGUUAAGUCAGGUGUGAAAGUUUGCGGCUCAACCGUAAAAUUGCAGUUGAUACUGGCAGCCUUGAGUACAGUAGAGGUAGGCGGAAUUCGUGGUGUAGCGGUGAAAUGCUUAGAUAUCACGAAGAACUCCGAUUGCGAAGGCAGCCUGCUGGACUGUAACUGACGCUGAUGCUCGAAAGUGUGGGUAUCAAACAGGAUUAGAUACCCCAGUAGUC
rnacentral:rRNA from 1 species